UCGCUACAAAUGUUGAAAGCCUACUAUUUGCUACAAUUUGCACCGUACUUUGUAAUGUGAAAUAAAGGCCAGCAAUUCACUAGAAUUGCAUAUGUGCCGCCAAUGGUAGCUGUUCCUAUGUCAGUUGCAAAUUAUGUAUGCCUGUAUGUGUUAUCAUUGAAACAUCACUGCUCAGUGAUAACUUAAUCAGUCUUUCUAUGUGUGUUUGUUACCAUCUGUCUUGUAUUCAUUUAAAUAUAAAUGGACUACCUCUAUCCAAGUAUGAAAGUCAUUUUUCUGGGAAUUCAACUUGUUAUGAAUACAUGUGAUUAUUAUGUUUGGAA
rnacentral:lncRNA from 1 species